GGUAGUUCAGUGGUAGAGUGCUUGCCUUGCAUGCAUGAGGCCCUGGGUUCGAUUCCUCAGUACCA
rnacentral:tRNA from 1 species